rnacentral:rRNA from 1 species
CACGGGGGUUGCGAACGUUGUCCGGAAUUACUAGGCGUAAAGGGCAGGCAGGCGGAUCCAUAAGUUUAUCGUUUAAGGCGUCGGCUUAACCGGCGUAGGGCGGUAGAUACUGUGGAUCUGGAAUGCGGUUGGGGAAGACAGAAUUCCUGGUGUAGCGGUGGAAUGCGCAGAGAUCAGGAGGAAUACCGAAGGCGAAGGCAGUCUUCCAAGCCGUUAUUGACGCUCAACUGCGAAGGUGUGGGUAUCAAACAGGAUUAGAUACCCUUAGUCCCUGAGCGGG